rnacentral:rRNA from 1 species
GACAGAGGGUGCAAACGUUGUUCGGAAUUACUGGGCGUAAAGCGCAUGUAGGCGGCCAAGCAAGUCGGGUGUGAAAGCCCAGGGCUCAACCCUGGAAGUGCACUCGAAACUGCUCGGCUGGAGUCUCGGAGAGGGUCGCGGAAUUCUGGGUGUAGAGGUGAAAUUCGUAGAUAUCCAGAGGAACACCAGUGGCGAAGGCGGCGUUCUGGACUGCAACUGACACUGAGGAACGAAAGCCAGGGGAGCAAACGGG